UAGAGCAAGUAAUAACUGCAAGAUUGCAAUAUGAAGUUAACAGUGGUGUGCCUAAUCGUGCUAAUCGUGAUUGUCGCGGUUCAGGCGGAAAUUCAGGCGGGAGCUCAGACGAGAUUUCAGGCGGGAUUUCUAACUGGAGUUCAGGCUAAAUCCUACUGGUUGUUAAGAGGAUAUCUUGGUCAUCAUAGACAUGAUAAACCAACGCUUCCACCAGCAAUACCACCAACAUAAACUGAGAGUAAUUCGACUAGAAGAAGACGCGAAAUUAUGGAUGCUCCAUUUUUACCAGCAUUUGAAUAACGUGUAAAAGAUAAAAAAGACCAAUUGCUGCGUAUAGAAGUAAUGUUAAAAUGCUAAAACACAAAAUGCUUCAUAAGCACACAACUUAUAGUCUCAUUGCAUUGAAAAGGUAAACUGACAUCUGAAAUUCCUCAAAAAAAUAGUCUGCAAUAAAGAAAUGUUUAAAAUACAUAUA